UUUAAAUGUAUCUUCUACAGGUGAAGUGAAGACACUAAUGGUACAAUUAUUAAGGGCAGUUGCACAUCUUCAUGACAAUUGGAUACUUCAUAGAGAUUUAAAAACAUCCAAUCUACUUCUUAGUCAUAAAGGGAUUUUAAAAGUUGGUGAUUUUGGAUUAGCUCGAGAAUAUGGUUCACCAUUGAAACCUUAUACUCCUGUUGUUGUGACGUUAUGGUACAGAGCACCAGAGUUAUUGUUAGGUGCAAAAG